UACGAAGGGGGCUAGCGUCGCUCGGAAUUACUGGGCGUAAAGGGCGCGUAGGCGGAUAGUUUAGUCAGAGGUAAAAGCCCAGGGCUCAACCUUGGAACUGCCUUUGAUACUGGCUAUCUUGAGUUCGGGAGAGGUGAGUGGAAUGCCGAGUGUAGAGGUGAAAUUCGUAGAUAUUCGGCGGAACACCAGUGGCGAAGGCGACUCACUGGACCGAUACUGACGCUGAGGCGCGAAAGCGUGGGGAGCAAACAGG
rnacentral:rRNA from 1 species